AGCAAUUAAAGGAGAAAAAGGGAGCGUGGACUUCCAGGGAUCCCAGGAACUGCCUCAAAUUUUGAUAUUUAUACGUUCAAGAAUGGGCUGAAGGGUGAACAUGGAGAUCCAGGUGUGAAAGGAGAGAAGGGGGAGCCUGGGGGGGGGUAUUAUGACACACACUUCGGAGCACAGGGACCACCUGGAGCGCCUGGAAAACCAGGUUUACCGGGACCAAAGGGGGAUACUAUUUGGGACCCCCAGGACCUCAAGGACCGCCAGGACCUCCAGGGAUAGGUUAUGAUGGACGCCCUGGUCACCAGGUCCACCUGGACCUCCAGGACCUCCAGGAAUUUCCACAAACAGGAACCUACAGGCCCA